GAGCUGUGAGGAUACUUGUGCUUUGUGUGAUGGAUUGGGUCUAUCACUACAUCUUCAAAGAUGAAUUAUAAGUGCAACUGAGCUC